CAACCAGAAAGCCACGGCUAACUACGUGCCAGCAGCCGCGGUAAUACGUAGGUGGCAAGCGUUGUCCGGAUUUAUUGGGCGUAAAGCGAGCGCAGGCGGUUUUUUAGGUCUGAUGUGAAAGCCUUCGGCUUAACCGGAGAAGUGCAUCGGAAACCGGGAGACUUGAGUGCAGAAGAGGACAGUGGAACUCCAUGUGUAGCGGUGAAAUGCGUAGAUAUAUGGAAGAACACCAGUGGCGAAGGCGGCUGUCUGGUCUGCAACUGACGCUGAGGCUCGAAAGCAUGGGUAGCGAACAGGAUUAGAUACCCUGGUAGUCCAUGCCGUAAACGAUGAGUGCUAAGUGUUGGAGGGUUUCCGCCCUUCAGUGCUGCAGCUAACGCAUUAAGCACUCCGCCUGGGGAGUACGACCGCAAGGUUGAAACUCAAAGGAAUUGACGGGGGCCCGCACAAGCGGUGGAGCAUGUGGUUUAAUUCGAUGCUACGCGAAGAACCUUACCAGGUCUUGACAUCUUCUGCUAACCUAAGAGAUUAGGCGUUCCCUUCGGGGACGGAAUGACAGGUGGUGCAUGGUUGUCGUCAGCUCGUGUCGUGAGAUGUUGGGUUAAGUCCCGCAACGAGCGCAACCCUUAUUGUCAGUUGCCAGCAUUUAGUUGGGCACUCUGGCGAGACUGCCGGUGACAAACCGGAGGAAGGUGGGGAUGACGUCAAAUCAUCAUGCCCCUUAUGACCUGGGCUACACACGUGCUACAAUGGACGGUACAACGAGUCGCGAAACCGCGAGGUCAAGCUAAUCUCUGAAAGCCGUUCUCAGUUCGGAUUGCAGGCUGCAACUCGCCUGCAUGAAGUUGGAAUCGCUAGUAAUCGUGGGUCAGCAUGCCACGGUGAAUACGUUCCCGGGCCUUGUACACACCGCCCGUCACACCAUGAGAGUUUGUAACACCCAAAGCCGGUGAGGUAACCUUCGGGGGCCAGCCGUCUAAGGUGGGACAGAUGAUUAGGGUGAAGUCGUAACAAGGUAGCCGUAGGAGAACCUGCGGCUGGAUCACCUCCUUUCUAA
rnacentral:rRNA from 1 species